rnacentral:rRNA from 1 species
AUACGUAGGGUGCGAGCGUUAAUCGGAAUUACUGGGCGUAAAGCGUGCGCAGGCGGUUUCGUAAGACAGAGGUGAAAUCCCCGGGCUCAACCUGGGAACUGCCUUUGUGACUGCGAGGCUAGAGUAUGGCAGAGGGGGGUGGAAUUCCACGUGUAGCAGUGAAAUGCGUAGAGAUGUGGAGGAACACCGAUGGCGAAGGCAGCCCCCUGGGCCAAUACUGACGCUCAUGCACGAAAGCGUGGGGAGC